GAGUGGUGUUUGGUUUGUUACGUGUGGUUGGCUGCGGCGUUUGCAACAACUUCCAUGCUUUCAGACCUCUUCAGUUGUGCGGCAAGGCUUGUAUCGCCUUGAGCGUAUUGUGGGUUUUCUGUGUUGGCUACCUAAUCAAUGGUAUCGGUUGGAUUGAUCAAUGUUUCAUUUCGUCUAUCGUCGCAUUUGCGGCGUGAGAUGAACCUUGAUGCGGUCUCUUUGAUCCACCUCGUCGAAGCGCAUGCUUUGGCGUUGUGGCACAUUGAGCAUUGCUUGGUCUCUUGUAUACGGAACAUAUAGUGGGCAUGGAUCUAACGAUUCUCGUUUGCCCUCAUAUUAGCGUAACGCUUCUCUUACACGACUUGCUCCACGUUUUAGCUCGUACGGACGUGGUGCUAUGUCGAAGAGGAAUGCUACCUGGU
rnacentral:misc_RNA from 1 species